UCAUCAUGUCAACAGGAUGCCUUCCAUAC
rnacentral:sRNA from 1 species